AACUGGUGGUCAACUAAGACCACCCCAAAGGAGUCGAACUUUCCGGGUCCUUUGUGCAGCGGGCGGAAUUUCCCACAGAGCUGGUUCCACUUGAGAAGGUAGCCAUAUGCCGACGCCUACGACACCAUUUCAGCAAUAGAUCCUGCCAUUCCACCCAAGUGUGGCAUGUCCUGGCCUGUUUCCGAAAUUAAUAAUUGCAACAUUUCGCGCUAAGUGAAACCAAAAGUCCAGAGUUCCACUCUUGUUGUUUUUCGAGUCACACAUGGCCGCCAGGAGUCAGUUGGUCAGUUUUAUGGGUGAAUUACCAGAUCGACAGGGGCUGCGCCGCGUGAAGCUCGAAAAGGGCCGAACAGGGCCUAAAGGACAAAGGCAAACACCCACCCAUGUGUGGGCCAGAUGAGAAGGUCCUUACGUGCGUGACCGUUACAAACAAGCCGCCCGAUGACUCAGUGCUAUCUGUAUCUGAACCACGAGUAUAGUCCAAGGAUCAGGACGCGGGUGCGCAGGCGCGCGUCAGUUGGUCUGCAAGUCCUAACCCUUAAAUGCAGCCGGCAAAGUCGAGAGCUCAAAACUCAGGACUCAAAACUCAAAAACUCCCUCGCCCAGCAAACCACCCUGUUCUAGUUUAAAGUAAUGCCCAAAAACUACACCUAUCUUAGAGUCGAAAAGUAUAGGAGCAGCCGCCGUUUGGCGCGCCCACAUUGCCCAAAGUUGUUGUCCUAGAAUAUUUUCAUUUUAAUUGUUAUGCUGAUGUUGGCACGAGCCAACAUAUGUCCUGGAAACAUCCGUGUGGAGUGUCAUUGACUGGCGCUGCUGUUGUCUUUUGGCGCCCAAUUCUCGAAAGGAAAACUCCCUGCUAUCGCCACUAUCGGGGGUUGUCCUUCUCGGGGAAAACUGUUAGUUCAGCCACUGCCACCGCCACCGCACCACCAUCCACAUUAUAUCACCACCACCAACGAUCACCACCGAUCAGCAGAGCGCGACCAAAUUAUGCCCAAGUUGCUCGGCUGCAGCGCUUCGCUGACCCCGUGUCUUUUGCCUUGGGUUUUUCGACUGCGCCUUCAACUUCGACUUCCAGCCCGACUUCUGCUGGCUGACGACCUUUUGGGCCUCCUUUUCUGGGUCGUGGAGUGGGAAUGGGCCAAGAGCACGCGCUUCCACAAGCCAUUUCCUCCACUUCCUCCACGGCAACCGAAAUGUAAUGAGUCGGCUGUGUCAGGUGCAUAUGCAGGAUGUACUGAGAGAAACCACAUUCCGAAAUGAUAGACGAUUAGGAACCUGGAAUACAAAUGUGCUCUUGGAAUAUAGUUAUACUCUUUUUCUCAUUAUAUAGUUGCCACAGCAACUACAAUCAUAUUUUAAUAGUUAAUACUUAACAGUUAAGAUUAAGAUCAAAUAGUAUUAGAGUAAUGAAAUAAAAGAAAAGGGUGCCCUCUCGCUCCGUCCUGCUGGCUAGGUCGCGCCGUCUCUUUCUCGAUCGCGUAAUUACAGCGGCCAAGUCGAAGUUUUUCCUUAUGAGCCAGCCAGGCCAGGUCAAAGUGGCACUACCACUUCCACCGCCACAUCCACUGGCGGCACUGCGACAUCGGGAAUCGAAUGCCGAGCGGUGCUCAUUAGACCAAAGCAUAGAGGGUGCAUAGACAUCUGUGUUUCUUUUUAUGCACUUUGGCUUUCUUUCCGCCCGGCCGGAGGAAGGGGCGGGGUUCAAAGGGGAACUAGGAGCGUUGAGGUCGACGGACCGUGUAACGCAACUGCAACUGCAAGUGGCUGGCCGACCGACCGACUGUCUUGUCUUAACCUGGCUCAAAACGCUCAACAAACGGGCAGGAAACUCGGGGAAAAAGCGCGCAAUUUCGGGUGGUUCUUGAGCUGGGCUAUUUAGCAUUUGAACCGUAUCGUGUUGGGGUAUUCACUCGAGUGAAUGCCAAAAGCCUGAUUUCGCAGGUGUGGAAAUGUUUACCGGUUGCCCAGCAACACUGCAAUAUACAGAAAGACUUAUUCUAAAUGAAUUAUAUCUCUGUACUGGCACUUCCUGUGGGCCCAGAUAUAUAUUUUAAAGACAAUGCCCACACUACACCCAUUUCACAAGCUCCACAUCUGCUUCGCCCACUCUCCAAGAUGUGGGCACUCCUAGUCGAGAUUCCCUGGGCAACAAAUGCGUUGGUGCAACCUGAUCCCAUCCAAUCCAA